rnacentral:rRNA from 1 species
GGAAUUUUCCGCAAUGGGCGAAAGCCUGACGGAGCGACGCUGCGUGAAGGAUGACGGCCUGAGGGUUGUAAACUUCUUUUCUCGAAGAAGAAUCAAUGACGGUAUUCGAGGAAUAAGCAUCGGCUAACUCUGUGCCAGCAGCCGCGGUAAGACAGAGGAUGCAAGUGUUAUUCGGAUUGAUUGGGCGUAAAGCGUCUGUAGGCGGUUUAGAAAGUCUUUUGUGAAAUACUUCAGCUCAACUGGGGCCCCGCAAAAGAAACUUCUAGACUUGAGGGAAGUAGAGGUACAGGGAAUUUCCGGUGGAGCGGUGAAAUGCGUAGAUAUCGGAAGGAACACCAAUAUGGCGAAGGCACUGUACUGGGCUUUACCUGACGCUAAGAGACGAAAGCUAAAGGAGUGAUUAGGAUUAGAUACCCUAGUAAUUUUAGCCGUAAACGAUGGAAACUCACUGCCGAGCCGGUAUUCGGAGCGGUGGUCAAGCUAACGCGUGAAGUUUCCCGCCUGGGGAUUACGCAUGCAAAUGUGAAACUCAAAGGAAUUGACGGGGACCCGCACAAGCGGUGGAGUAUGUGGUUUAAUUCGAUGCAACGCGAAAAACCUUACCAAGGUUUGAAAUCAUUCUAAAACUCUUUGAAAGAAGAGCCUCCUUCGGGAUAGAAUGACAGGUGGUGCAUGGCUGUCGUCAGCUCGUGUUGUGAAAUGUCAAGUUAAGUCUUGUAACGAGCGCAACCCAUGUCUUUUGUUGCUGUUUACAGUGCUUAAAAGAGACUGCCGCUCUACAGCGGAGGAAGGUGUGGAUGAUGUCAAGUCAGCAUGCCCCUUAUAUCUUGGGCUACACACGUACUACAAUGGUAGGGACAAUGAGUCGCAAACCUGCGAAGGCUAGCCAAUCUCAAAAACCCUAUCUCAGUUCGGAUUGUACUCUGCAACUCGAGUGCAUGAAGGUGGAAUCGCUAGUAAUCGCUGGUCAGCAUACAGCGGUGAAUACGUUCCCGGGUCUUGUACACACUGCCCGUCACACCAUGGAAGUCGAUCCUUCCCUAAGUCGUUACUCGAACCUUUUAGGACGAGGAUGCCGAAGGCAGGGUUGGUGACUAGGGUGAAGUCGUAACAAGGUAACC